GAUGAACGCUGGCGGUAUGCCUAAUACAUGCAAGUCGUGCGGAAAGGCCCCUUCGGGGGUACUCGAGCGGCGGACGGCAGAGUAACGCGUAGGAACAUACCCCAAACUGAGGGAUAACUGCUCGAAAGAGUAGCUAAUACCGCAUGUGGUCUUCGGACUAAAGCUUCGGCGGUUUGGGAAUGGCCUGCGUUCGAUUAGCUAGUUGGUGAGGUAAAUGCUCACCAAGGCGACGAUCGGUAGCUGGUCUGAGAGGAUGAUCAGCCUGACUGGAACUGAGAACGGUCCAGACUCCUACGGGAGGCAGCAGUAGGGAAUUUUCCACAAUGGGCGAAAGCCUGAUGGAGCAACGCCGCGUGCAGGAUGAAUGCCUUCGGGUUGUAAACUGCUUUAUUAGUGAAGAAUAUGACGGUAACUAAUGAAUAAGGGUCGGCUAACUACGUG
rnacentral:rRNA from 1 species